UUGAACGCUGGCGGCAUGCCUUACACCUGCAAGUCGAACGGCAGCACGGGUGCUUGCACCUGGUGGCGAGUGGCGAACGGGUGAGUAAUACAUCGGAACAUGUCCUGUAGUGGGGGAUAGCCCGGCGAAAGCCGGAUUAAUACCGCAUACGAUCUACGGAUGAAAGCGGGGGACCUUCGGGCCUCGCGCUAUAGGGUUGGCCGAUGGCUGAUUAGCUAGUUGGUGGGGUAAAGGCCUACCAAGGCGACGAUCAGUAGCUGGUCUGAGAGGACGACCAGCCACACUGGGACUGAGACACGGCCCAGACUCCUACGGGAGGCAGCAGUGGGGAAUUUUGGACAAUGGGCGAAAGCCUGAUCCAGCAAUGCCGCGUGUGUGAAGAAGGCCUUCGGGUUGUAAAGCACUUUUGUCCGGAAAGAAAUCCUUGGCCCUAAUACGGUCGGGGGAUGACGGUACCGGAAGAAUAAGCACCAGCUAACUACGUG
rnacentral:rRNA from 1 species